rnacentral:tRNA from 1 species
GCUCGGGUGGCGGAAUUGGUAGACGCCCAGGACUUAAAAUCCUGUGAACAGAAAUGUUCGUACGGGUUCGAUUCCCGUCCCGAGCA